rnacentral:tRNA from 1 species
GGUGGCUUAGUGGUAGAGCACUUGCCUAGCAUGCAUGAAGCCCUGGGUUCGAUUCCUCAGCACCA